GUGGGGAAUUUUGGACAAUGGGCGCAAGCCUGAUCCAGCCAUUCCGCGUGCAGGAUGAAGGCCUUCGGGUUGUAAACUGCUUUUGUACGGAACGAAAAGGUUCUCUCUAAUACAGGGGGCUGAUGACGGUACCGUAAGAAUAAGCACCGGCUAACUACGUGCCAGCAGCCGCGGUAAUACGUAGGGUGCAAGCGUUAAUCGGACUUACUGGGCGUAAAGCGUGCGCAGGCGGUGAUGUAAGACAGAUGUGAAAUCCCCGGGCUCAACCUGGGAACUGCAUUUGAGACUGCAUUGCUGGAGUGCGGCAGAGGUGGAUGGAAUUCCGCGUGUAGCAGUGAAAUGCGUAGAUAUGCGGAGGAACACCGAUGGCGAAGGCAAUCCCCUGGGCCUGCACUGACGCUCAUGCACGAAAGCGUGGGGAGCAAACAGGAUUAGAAACCCCAUAGUCC
rnacentral:rRNA from 1 species